GGUGGCUCAUGCCUGUAAUCCCAGCACUUUGGGAAGCUGAGGCAGGAGGAUCACAUAAGGCCAGGAGUUUGAGACCAGCUUGGCCAACAUGACAAAACCCCGUCUUUACUAAAAAUACAAAAAUUAGCCAGGUGUGGUGGUGCCUACCUGUAAUCCCAGCUGCUUGGGAGGCUAAGGUGGGAGAAUUGUUUGAACCUGGGAGGUGGAGGUUGCGGUAAGCAGUAAGUUGCAGUUGCACUGCACUCCAGCCUGGGAGACAGAGCCAGACUCCAUCUCAAAAAAAUUAAAAAAAAUAAAUAUUGACAGGCUAUGUGGUUUGUCUGAGAGUUUUUUCAAAUGUCAUCAUAAUCUCCAAAAGAUUUUCCAGUAUAUUUAUUGAAAAAAUCUACGUCCAUUUUUGGAUCAGACUGGGAGACCUGUCCUGCUCUCACCAGAAGCCUUCAUUAUAUUAAUAAUGCUGCAUUCCUAUAUUAAUAGGAAGUGUCUUCUGUUCCUAUAUAAUAACAACAUAACUAAAAGGAAUUUGGGCCAAAAGUAAAAAGAAAUUAAUACUAGC
rnacentral:lncRNA from 1 species